AUACGAAGGGGGCGAGCGUUGUUCGGAAUUACUGGGCGUAAAGGGAGCGCAGGCGGUUCAUUAAGUUAGGCGUGAAAGCCCCGGGCUCAACCUGGGAACUGCGUUUAAUACUGAUGAACUAGAAAACAGGAGAGGGUAGUGGAAUUUCCAGUGUAGAGGUGAAAUUCGUAGAUAUUAGAAAGAACACCGGUGGCGAAAGCGCUCUACUGGACCAUUACUGACACUCAGAGGCGAAAGCUAGGGUAGCAAAAGGGAUUAGAUACCCCUGUAGUCCUAGCCGUAAACGAUGGAUACUAGAUGUUGUAUGUUAUUUACAGUAUCGUAGCUAACGCGUUAAGUAUCCCGCCUGGGGAGUACGCUCGCAAGGGUGAAACUCAAAGGAAUUGACGGGGGCCCGCACAAGCGGUGGAGCAUGUGGUUUAAUUCGAUGCAACGCGAAGAACCUUACCAGGGCUUGACAUACUACAGAUUCUUUUGAGAGAGAGAAGUGCCUUCGGGAAUGUAGAUACAGGU
rnacentral:rRNA from 1 species